rnacentral:rRNA from 1 species
GACGAACGCCGGCGGCGUGCUUAACACAUGCAAGUCGAACGAUGAAGCUAGAGCUUGCUCUGGUGGAUUAGUGGCGAACGGGUGAGUAACACGUGAGUAACCUGCCCCGAACUCUGGGAUAACUGCUGGAAACGGUAGCUAAUACUGGAUACGACCAACGAAGGCAUCUUCUGUUGGUGGAAAGAAUUUCGGUUCGGGAUGGACUCGCGGCCUAUCAGCUUGUUGGUGAGGUAACGGCUCACCAAGGCGACGACGGGUAGCCGGCCUGAGAGGGUGAUCGGCCACACUGGGACUGAGACACGGCCCAGACUGCUACGGGAGGCAGCAGUGGGGAAUAUUGCACAAUGGGCGCAAGCCUGAUGCAGCAACGCCGCGUGAGGGACGACGGCCUUCGGGUUGUAAACCUCUUUUAGUAGGGAAGAAGCGAAAGUGACGGUACCUGCAGAAAAAGCACCGGCUAACUACGUGCCAGCAGCCGCGGUAA